CAGGCCUUGGAGUUAAGUCAACAGGAGAAGAGUCCAGUGAGGUCACAGAUGAGUGUCAAGCUUGCAGGAAAAGGCUGGUUCCGAGGA